GAUCAUGGCUCAGGAUGAACGCUAGCUACAGGCUUAACACAUGCAAGUCGAGGGGCAGCAUUCCAGUUUGCAUGCAAACUGGAGAUGGCGACCGGCGCACGGGUGAGUAACACGUAUCCAACCUGCCGAUAACUCGGGGAUAGCCUUUCAAAAGAAAGAUUAAUACCCGAUGGCAUAAUAGAACCGCAUGGUUUGAUUAUUAAAGAAUUUCGGUUAUCGAUGGGGAUGCGUUCCAUUAGG
rnacentral:rRNA from 1 species